rnacentral:sRNA from 1 species
GCCAGGUGCAAUGGCAUGCACCUGUAAUUCCAGUGGCUUGGGAGGCUGAGACAGGAGGAUUGAGUUCAAAGCCAGCCUCAGCAACUUAGUGAGGUCCUUUGCAACUCAGCAAGACCCUGUCUCUA